CCGUAGCCCAAGAGAUCGGGAUAACACCUGGAAACAGGUGCUAAUACCGGAUAACAACAGAUGAUGCCUAUCAACUGUUUAAAAGAUGGUUCUGCUAUCACUCUUGGAUGGACCUGCGGUGCAUUAGCUAGUUGGUAGGGUAACGGCCUACCAAGGCGAUGAUGCAUAGCCGAGUUGAGAGACUGAUCUGCCACAUUGGGACUGAGACACGGCCCAAACUCCUACGGGAGGCAGCAGGU
rnacentral:rRNA from 1 species